GAUGAACGCUGGCGGCGUGCCUAAUACAUGCAAGUCGAGCGAACAGACGAGGAGCUUGCUCCUCUGACGUUAGCGGCGGACGGGUGAGUAACACGUGGAUAACCUACCUAUAAGACUGGGAUAACUUCGGGAAACCGGAGCUAAUACCGGAUAAUAUAUUGAACCGCAUGGUUCAAUAGUGAAAGACGGUUUUGCUGUCACUUAUAGAUGGAUCCGCGCCGCAUUAGCUAGUUGGUAAGGUAACGGCUUACCAAGGCAACGAUGCGUAGCCGACCUGAGAGGGUGAUCGGCCAAACUGGAACUGAGACCCGGUCCAGACUCCUACGGGAGGCAGCAGUAGGGAAUCUUCCGCAAUGGGCGAAAGCCUGACGGAGCAACGCCGCGUGAGUGAUGAAGGUCUUCGGAUCGUAAAACUCUGUUAUUAGGGAAGAACAAAUGUGUAAGUAACUAUGCACGUCUUGACGGUACCUAAUCAGAAAGCCACGGCUAACUACGUG
rnacentral:rRNA from 1 species